rnacentral:rRNA from 1 species
AACGAACGCUGGCGGCAGGCCUAAAACAUGCAAGUCGAGCGAUGUAGCAAUACAUAGUGGCGCACGGGUGCGUAACGCGUGGGAAUAUGCCCUUCACUACGGAACAACGUCGGGAAACUGACGCUAAUACCGUAUAAUGACUCCGGUCCAAAGAUUUAUCGGUGAAGGAUUAGCCCGCGUCUGAUUAGGUAGUUGGUGAGGUAACGGCUCACCAAGCCGACGAUCAGUAGCUGGUCUGAGAGGAUGAUCAGCCACACUGGAACUGAGACACGGUCCAGACUCCUACGGGAGGCAGCAGUUAGGAAUAUUGGACAAUGGGGGAAACCCUGAUCCAGCCAUGCCGCGUGAGUGAAGAAGGCCUUAGGGUUGUAAAGCUCUUUCGUCUGUGAAGAUAAUGACAGUAGCAGAAGAAGAAGCCCCGGCUAAAUUCGUGCCAGCCGCCGCAGUAA